CGCCGUCUUUUACCGUGCGCGCUAAUCAGUGACCGGGGCUGGUUUUGGUUAUCCCACAGUCAGGUACCUGAAGUAGCGCGCGUGGUGGCCAGACG
rnacentral:pre_miRNA from 11 species